rnacentral:rRNA from 1 species
CCCUACGGGGCGCAGCAGUGGGGGAUAUUGGACAAUGGGGGAAACCCUGAUCCAGCGAUGCCGCGUGAGGGAAGAAGGUUUUCGGAUUGUAAACCUCUGUGGAGGGGGACGAUAAUGACGGUACCCCUUUAGGAAGCCACGGCUAACUACGUGCCAGCAGCCGCGGUAAUACGUAGGUGGCGAGCGUUGUCCGGAUUUACUGGGUGUAAAGGGAGCGUAGGUGGCAGGGCAAGUCAGAUGUGAAAACCCGGGGCUCAACUCCGGGACUGCAUUGGAAACUGUCAGGCUAGAGUGUCGGAGAGGCA